UACUGGAGAGUCCCUUUUAUAGGGCGCCGAAGGUGUAAAACUGGCCAAAAUCUGAGAAUGCGCCUUGGUCAGUUAAUCUCUCAGGCAAAAGGACAGGAGA
rnacentral:ncRNA from 1 species